rfam:Lasius niger Lnig_2.1_32556, whole genome shotgun sequence.
GCGGAUAUGAUGAAAUAGGUAGACAUGACAUAUUUAGGAUAUGUUGGGUAACUUUGCAGGUUCGAAUCCUGCUAUCCGUA